rnacentral:lncRNA from 1 species
ACAUUUAUGAUGUUCUCCAUAUUGAACCGAUCUACAACUUAUAGAUAAACCGUCAUACACAAACAUGACACAAUUAUCACAACUUUAUGUUUACGCAUUGUGGCGUUAUUACCGUUCAUCCUGUUAGCCUCGCCUUAUCAAAAAGGAAUCAACAGGGAUAUCAAAUCAAAUUCAAAAGAUCAAAUGAGAAUUCAUAUCAUAUUACUCAAGAAUAAAAUGAAACAUUAUUAAUCGAUCG